rnacentral:rRNA from 1 species
UACGGAGGGUGCAAGCGUUAAUCGGAAUUACUGGGCGUAAAGCGCACGCAGGCGGUCUGUUAAGUCAGAUGUGAAAUCCCCGGGCUUAACCUGGGAACUGCAUUUGAAACUGGCAGGCUUGAGUCUCGUAGAGGGGGGUAGAAUUCCAGGUGUAGCGGUGAAAUGCGUAGAGAUCUGGAGGAAUACCGGUGGCGAAGGCGGCCCCCUGGACGAAGACUGACGCUCAGGUGCGAAAGCGUGGGGAGCAAAC